GAAGUGUUGGUGAUGAGACCUAGAGUUACCAUUGCUCUGAGCACAAAGGGACGCUGGUGAUGUCCGACCCGAGCCAGGUCUAACCCUCAGAAACCCAGCUCUGUCGACUUCUGGCUAGCCUGGGGUCUGAGAAGAACAGCACAUCGCCUGCUUCUAGGAGCUUCUGCUCCAGUGUGGGAGGCAGAUGCUUCAAGAAAUACCCGCUUUAUGGCAGGGUGAAUGCCACCAACAGUUCAUGCAGCACUUUGUGGGGAAGAGAUGCAGAAACCACCACAGACCUCCCCAAACCCCUGCCAUCUCCUGAUGACCAGAGUGUCCACACAAAUGUCCCUCGCUGCCUUGUCCACUUGCAGGGGCUCCUUCCUCCUCUCCUCAGUCACACCCUGGACCUGAUGGUGUGGAACCUGUUCCUCUGAAGUGUGACCCUGGCAGACCAUCUCCACAGGUUGGCGUAAUGAAAACGAGCACCUCAAUUGUACAGCACAGACAACUCGGCCCCCAGUGAAAGUCACUUCGGCUGCUGAGACAAAAAUACAUCUGUGGAAUGAAACACUGACGAACCACAUGCCAGAAUGGGGAGGUUGGUCUCCUGUAAGAGGAGUGUCUUCAAUUUCAGCAUCUCAGGCUAUGAAUGGAGAGCCGGGGACCCCAGCUCUGCACCUGCUGAGCCACACAAGAGGCCUGAGCACAGGAGUUGGGGGUCUGGGUGCUGGGCUGGGGCCCUGGCAGGCUCCGUGCAGAUGAUCCGUUUGGGCCCUCACUCCUGGCCGGACCUUGGCUGAAAGGCAGCAGCUUCCUGGACAGGUCAGAGCUGAGGCCUGGGGAUGAGCACCCCCACACUGGGCCUCCCCGGUAGCCUCACCAGCCACCUCCAUCAUGGACCCCUGCUAGCGGAACUGAGAAGUCUCAAGGGGAGUGUGGAGAGAAUCCACACCUGAAGCAGUUGCUGCCUCUAGGGGCAGAAACGCCUGUUCUGUAACAGCUGGCCAGACGGGGCUUUAGAAAACUCUGGAGUCACCAAGAGCAGCUUUUGGAUAGGGAGCAGAAAGUCGACAUGCUGAGCAUGUCAGGCUCAGGAGAAGAUAAUGUAUAAUGACCAAAUUACCAUGGUCUAAAAACUCCUGCAAUUGCAUCCAAAUUAGCAGAAAUAAUUAUGAUUCACUUUAAUUAGUGACUCCGGAAGUGAAGCCUGGAGCUGGUGGGCAGAGUGCCUGGCAUGGCAGCUGCAUGACAGCCAAGGGGGAGAGGACAUCCCAGCCAGGAGGGCUGGGAGCCUGAGGGAGCAGCUUUGGUAACAGCCGGGCCUGAGAACUCUGUCUUCAAGCUGCACCCGCUUGUCUGCAGUGAUUCAGAGCAGGGGCUCCCUGCCACCUCCUCUUAGCACCGUCUGCCAUCUUCACCACCGGCACCUGAGAAGCUCCCAGGCCUUGUCCCUCCCACAUGGCUCCCACCAUGUCAGUAGUAGGCUCUACGUUGCCCCCGCUUUAUAGACAGGGAAUUGGUGGUGCAGAGAUUACCUGGUCUGGAGUCUUGGCUCCUGUUCCUGCAUGAUUUCCCUUGUCUCUGAGCCAGGGGCCCCUCGAUUUAGCUCCAUAAAAGGCCUUGUCUGCCCCUUGCCCUCCCAGAGAGUGAGACCCGCCCCUAACCAGCUGCAGCCCGCCUCCUCCCUACCCUCCAAACUCUGAGGCCUGCUGGUGGAGGCC